rnacentral:rRNA from 1 species
UCCUACAUCGCUGUGAAUGCGCCUUACCCUGACAACUCUUGAAAGCCACGCGGGUUUAACCUGCUUAGUAAUUGGAUGGGAGAUUGACUGGGAAUAUCUGGUGUUGUAGGCU